rnacentral:rRNA from 1 species
GAACGCUGGCGGCGUGCUAACACAUGCAAGUCGAACGCGAAAGGGACUCGGUCCUGAGUAAAGUGGCGCACGGGUGAGUAACGCGUGGAUAAUCUGCCCUUAUGAUCGGGAUAACAGUUGGAAACGGCUGCUAAUACCGGAUACGCUCAAAAUGAACUUUUUGAGGAAAGAUGGCCUCUGCUUGCAUGCUAUCACGUAAGGAUGAGUCCGCGUCCCAUUAGCUUGUUGGCGGGGUAACGGCCCACCAAGGCAACGAUGGGUAGCCGAUUUGAGAGGAUGAUCGGCCACACUGGAACUGAAACACGGUCCAGACUCCUACGGGAGGCAGCAGUGGGGAAUAUUGCGCAAUGGGCGAAAGCCUGACGCAGCGACGCCGCGUGAGGGAUGAAGGUUUUCGGAUCGUAAACCUCUGUCAGAAGGGAAGAAACUACGUUGUGCUAAUCAGCAGCGUACUGACGGUACCUUCAAAGGAAGCACCGGCUAACUCCGUGCCAGCCGCAGC